UGCGUAGGCUGUGUUGUAAGUCAGAGGUGAAAUCCCGGGCUCACCCCGGAACUGCCUCCGAUACUGCAAGACUUGAGGACUGGAGAGGAGAUUGGAAUUCAUGGUGGAGCAGUGAAAUGCGUAGAUAUCAUGAGGAACGCUAGUGGCGUAGGCGAAUCUCUGGACAGUUCCUGACGCUGAGGCACGAAGGCCAGGGGAGCAAACG
rnacentral:rRNA from 1 species